rnacentral:lncRNA from 1 species
CACACGGCACACGCCAGCAGGCGGCACACUCCACGCCUCCACGGCUCCGAGCUAUGGCGCAGGCGAGUAUCACCGACUGGAGCAUCACUGCAUCAACAUGCAGCAGCAAGGUGAGUAGUUCAAUUUCUGAUUUUAUCACCCGAACCAGAAGGGACUCAAUUCCCAAUAUAUAUUUUCGAUUAAAGAACGGAUAAUAAGAUUGAUGAGUGUGAUAAUUUUUUGUUAUUUAAGUGUGAUUUUCUUUUUUUGAUUUUUAGGUUCCAAAAAAUAAAAAGUAAGUGUGGUGAUUGAAACAUUUGUGUACCCGUUUCUUGCUUACUCUCUCCGUUUGUAAAUAUAAGUCUUUUAAGAGGUUCCACCAGGAACUACAUACGGAUGUAUAUAGACAUACUUUAAAGUAUAGAUUCACUCAUUUUGCUCCGUAUGUAGUCUUUUAGUGAAAUCUCUAAAAAGACUUGUAUUUAGAAACGGAGGGAGUACAAAAAAGAGACAUAGAGUUAAAUUGUACUCCCUCCAUCCAAAAAUAACUGUCGCAAACUUAAUAUUAAAGUAUAAAUUUUAUACUAGAUCAACGAUAUUUAUUUUGGGACGCAGAAAGUAAUUGUUUCCAUGUUGUUUCAGUGUAACUAAAUUAUUACAUGUUGCCAAUAUUAAGUACAAAUUGUAUGUCCGUUGUGGUUAUUGUGAAUUUUCAUGUCUUGUACUUUAGCUUCUGCAGGUGUUAUUUCAAGAUGUCACCAUGGCGAGAUCCUCUUUGCUGCUACCCAGGAACGUGAGGAUUGUUUCGAUGCUGAAAACUCUGAAGUGAGCAGGAUGAAGUUCGAUAUGCACUCGACGCUGGAUCAUUGCACUUCCCCUGUUGAGUUCGGAUAUGAUUCUACGAACUCUAAUGCACUGCCAGCAUAUAGAAGUUACAUCAUUUAUGUUGUGGUUUAUUGAUUGUGUAAGUUCUUGAAAAUUGGUAGGCAAUGUGCUGGUUUUGUUCAUGGUCUUGUGUAACGUUCAAGAUGCAGUUCUCAACAGGAAUAGAAACUCAUCUCGUCCUUUCGCAGAAAUGGGUAUCGUUACAAGUACAUGUACUAAAGAGAUGAGUAUAUGUAACUGGAUUACACUCGCCACAAGCUACCUCAAUAUCACGUUAAUACAACAAUAUACAGUCAUCAUGAAGAAGAGGAGGGUCCGACUUCGGACGAAAACAAAUGAUAAAAGAACGACGUCCAUCCUUGAUAUCCCACGCUGCCGGCCUGGAACCCAUUCUAGAUCGACGACGACGAAGAAGAAACUCCA